rnacentral:rRNA from 1 species
AGCGUGCGCAGGCGGUUUUGUAAGACUGUCGUGAAAUCCCCGGGCCUCAACCUGGGAAUGGCGAUGGUGACUGCAAGGCUAGAGUUUGGCAGAGGGGGGGUAGAAUUCCACGUGUAGCAGUGAAAUGCGUAGAUAUGUGGAGGAACACCGAUGGCGAAGGCAGCCCCCUGGGUCAAAACUGACGCUCAUGCACGAAAGCGUGGGGAGCAAACAGGAUUAGAUACCCUAGU